AUGGGUGCUAGGUGUGGGAGGUGUCGACUCCUUCCGUGCCGAAGCUAACGCAUUAAGCACCCCGCCUGGGGAGUACGGCCGCAAGGCUAAAACUCAAAGGAAUUGACGGGGACCCGCACAAGCAGCGGAGCAUGUGGUUUAAUUCGACGCAACGCGAAGAACCUUACCUAGGCUUGACAUGUUGGAGAACGCCCUGGAAACAGGGAACUCUUUGGACACUCCAUCACAGGUGGUGCAUGGCUGUCGUCAG
rnacentral:rRNA from 1 species